rnacentral:rRNA from 1 species
GAUGAACGCUGGCGGCGUGCUUAACACAUGCAAGUCGAACGGUGAACACGGAGCUUGCUCUGUGGGAUCAGUGGCGAACGGGUGAGUAACACGUGAGCAACCUGCCCCUGACUCUGGGAUAAGCGCUGGAAACGGCGUCUAAUACUGGAUAUGUGACGUGACCGCAUGGUCUGCGUUUGGAAAGAUUUUUCGGUUGGGGAUGGGCUCGCGGCCUAUCAGCUUGUUGGUGAGGUAAUGGCUCACCAAGGCGUCGACGGGUAGCCGGCCUGAGAGGGUGACCGGCCACACUGGGAUUGAGACACGGCCCAGACUCCUACGGGAGGCAGCAGUGGGGAAUAUUGCACAAUGGGCGAAAGCCUUAUGCAGCAACGCCGCGUGAGGGAUGACGGCCUUCGGGUUGUAAACCUUUUUUAGCAGGGAAGAAGCGAAAGUGACGGUACCUGCAGAAAAAGCGCCGGCUAACUACGUG